rnacentral:rRNA from 1 species
GAGUUUGAUCAUGGCUCAGAUUGAACGCUGGCGGCAGGCCUAACACAUGCAAGUCGAGCGGAUGGCGGGAGCUUGCUCCUUGAUUCAGCGGCGGACGGGUGAGUAAUGCCUAGGAAUCUGCCUGGUAGUGGGGGACAACGUUUCGAAAGGAACGCUAAUACCGCAUACGUCCUACGGGAGAAAGCAGGGGACCUUCGGGCCUUGCGCUAUCAGAUGAGCCUAGGUCGGAUUAGCUAGUUGGUGGGGUAAUGGCUCACCAAGGCGACGAUCCGUAACUGGUCUGAGAGGAUGAUCAGUCACACUGGAACUGAGACACGGUCCAGACUCCUACGGGAGGCAGCAGUGGGGAAUAUUGGACAAUGGGCGAAAGCCUGAUCCAGCCAUGCCGCGUGUGUGAAGAAGGGUCUUCGGAUUGUAAAGCACUUUAAGUUGGGAGGAAGGGCAGUAAGUUAAUACCUUGCUGUUUUGACGUUUACCGACAGAAUAAGCACCGGCUAACUCUGUGCCAGCCGCCG